AAAAAGGAUCUAAAAUUACAAAUGAACAAUAAAUCCUCCCGUUUGUUUUUCUUUUGCAUUUCUUCGGGCUCCAGCUCCGACUCCCCGACCAGCAGCAGGCCGAGGUCCGCUGCCUGCUGAGCGCGGAGCAGAGCCGAGCGACCCGGUGUCCUCCGCAGCCUCCACCGGGGUCUGAACGCCUCCAUCCGCUCUCAGCUCCGCCUCGGUCCCCGGGCAGUCGUCCAACCAACCAACCCCCCCAGCGGAAACCUUCCCGCAUUACAGCGUCCGAACCCGGCGGAGCCCUGGUCCAUGUGGGCACCGGGCAGCCGGGGCGAGCGCAACUCCUUCUGGCCGAGCAGAGCGCCCCAGAGGCGGGGGGAUGGAGCCGCUCUGUCCGCCCCUCUGGAGAGGGUGGGUCCGCAGACCCCACGCUGCUGUAGGUCGGUGUUAGUGUCACUCAGGAGUCGGAUGAUGCUCCGUUUUUCUUAGUUAAACCCCUUUAGAGGUGAUCAGUGACCACAGAGUGAGAGAAACUAACUGCUCGCUGGAAAACUAACUUUGAUUUUUACUGAAUGGAGUCAGACAGAAGGACCAGCUCUGUGGACAUUUGGACAAUUUCUGCAUCAUUUUGGACAAAUGUUGAUUCAUUUUGGGACAAAUUUUGAGUGAUUUUAGGAACAUUUUGAGUUAUUGUAGGAACUUUUCGAGCCAUUUGGAAUAAGUUUGCAUCAUUUUGGACAAAUUUUGUGUAAUUUGGGGAACAUUUUGAGUAAUUUUGGGAACUUUUUGAGCCAUUUGACCAAAUUUUCCAUCAUUCUGGACAAAUUUUGAUAGAUUUUGGGAACAUUUUGUGAAAUUCUGGGAACUUUUUUGAGCCAUUUGGACAAAUUCUACAUCAUGUUGGACAAAUAUUGAGUAAUUUGGGGAACUCUGUGAGUUAUUUUGGGAACCUUUUGAGCCAUUUGGACAAAUUUUAAGUAAUUCUGGGACCAUUUUGAGCUAUUUAUGAAAUGUUUAUUUUUCUCCUCUCUCUCCUGUUCAUCUACUUGACUGAAGCAGAUGAACAGCUCCUGAUGUCUCUGACUGGAGCUUUAGUUUGUGCUGAGCUGCUAACAGAGAACAUCUGGAUGUGCUGAGCUGCUGACAGAGAACAUCUGGAUGUGUUGAGCUGCUAACAGGGAACAUCUGGAUGUGUUGAAGCUGCUAACAGGGAACAUCUGGAUGUGUUGAAGCUGCUGACAGAGAACAUCUGGAUGUGUUGAAGCUGCUGACAGAGAACAUCUGGAUGUGUUGAGCUGCUAACAGGGAACAUCUGGAUGUGUUGAAGCUGCUAACAGGGAACAUCUGGAUGUGUUGAAGCUGCUGACAGAGAACAUCUGGAUGUGUUGAAGCUGCUGACAGAGAACAUCUGGAUGUGCUGAGCUGCUCUGUUGAACUGUGUGUUGGUGUUUAAUCUUUGUAACCCACAGAUGGAGCUGCUGUUCAAACAGUGCUGAGUGGGCGUUCCUGUUCCUGCAGGCUGGGCUUUGCUUUGGCUCUUGUUUUUGUGUCCUCUCCGCCUACUUGUUGAGUUCUUGUGUAACCGUCGGGUGUGUUGUCGUCGUGUUGUUGUUGUUGUUGAAGAGCAGCUGAUCAUGGACACACUGCCAUGUGGGUUGCUGACCGUCUGCUGGUGUGCGUUUUGUGUCACAGCUGAAGUCCACAGACAGAUGGAAGCCGUCGCUGGAGACGAUGUUCUUCUCGACUGUCGGUCUCUCCACAAUGACGUCACACUUCUGGAGUGGAUCAGACCCGACCUGAAGGCCGACGGAUACGUUUUCUUCUACCGCGAGAGGCGCUCGUAUGAAAACUAUCAGCAUCCAUAUUUUAAUGGCCGAGUGAAGCUGGGAGAUCUGCGGAUGGAAAACGGAAAUAUGUCUGUCCUCCUGACCAACGUACAGCCAGAUACAGACAACGGAACAUACCUGUGUGAUGUUUCUGGAGGAACCAAACGAAGAGGCAGGACAACUUCUUCUGAGAUCAAGCUGACCGUUUCCCCUGCAAAACCCAGAAACAUUCAGAAACAAAUCUGGAAUGGAGGAAACAAGGAUGGAGGAAACAGGGAUGGAGGAAAUAAGGAUGGAGGAAAUAAGGAUGGAGGAGACAAGGAUGGAAAUAAUCGAAGGCGUAAUGGAUUGAUAGUGUUUCUGUCACUUUCUGUUGCGAUGGCUUUUCUUGUUUUCAUUGUAAUCCGUAAAGAACAUAUGCCGAUCUCGAAAGAACAGAGGAAGAAUUCAGUUCCUCCUGAUGGAGCAGCAGCUGAACAGAUGUUGUGAAAGUUUUUCUGGACAGCAGCAGAACAAAGCACAGCUUCUGUAACUCUGAUGGAACCAGCAGCAGCAGAACAAAGAGAAUCCAGGUGUGGACCAACCAUGUGGUCUCUCCUUUAACUGCCACCUUAUGGUGGUGGAGGGUUUGUGAGCUCAGAGGAUGCUGGGAGAUCUGCUGUCUGGAGUUCAGCUCCUGGUAGGGUUUCUGUUGGCAGACUGGUCCAGAAACAUCAAGUCCUCCCAACAUCUCCAUCAUCUAGAUUUAUCCUGUGGAUUGUUGCUGCUGCUGCUGCUGCUGGUCUUCAUCAACUUUUCUACUCUGUUGGUUUGUCUGUAAACACUUCGCUGUUCAGAUCACUUCACUACCUUCCAGUUGCUGCCCGCAUAAAGUUCAAAACUAGAAUGAAAAAAUCUCCCUCCUACCUGAACUCUCUCAUCCAGAUCUACACUCCCUCCCUCCAACCACAGGUUCCUGGUCCAUCCAGGUCUACACUCCCUCCAACCGAAGGUUCCUGGUCCAUCCAGGUCUACACUCCCUCCAACCGAAGGUUCCUGGUCCAUCCAGGUCUAGACUCCCUCCCUCCAACCAGAGGUUCCUGGUCCAUCCAAGUCUACACUCCCCCACCUCCAACCACAGGUUCCUGGUCCAUCCAGGUCUGGACUCCCUCCCUCCAACCAAAGGUUCCUGGUCCAUCCAGGUCUAGACUCCCUCCCUCCAACCAAAGGAUUCUAAUCCAACCUCCACAGAGGUCCAGAGAUCUUCUCCUCUGUGGUUCCUCGGUGGUGGAACCAGUUGCCAAACUCUGUUCAGUCUUUAAGAAAAGACUAAAAACCAGAUCUUCACUGAACACCUUUAACUUGACAGACUGCAAAAAUAAAAAUAAAAAUAAAAAAAUCCUAGUACGUCUACUUCCUGUAGACACCACAGUUCUAUUAUCACACCUGAACUUGUUUCAUGGCUCUUAUCUGGGUUAUUUUCUCCUGACUAGAUCGUUGCUGGUGGUGGAUCUACUCUCAGAUGGACGUCUUUGGAAUGGAUACCGGAUCAUGUGACCUAAAUAUGUAGCGGGUGGCGGGAAUUGAUGGGACUCAGAAACACCCCCACAAUUUAAUCAGUUGUUCCUUGGAUCAUUUCUGAUGGAUAAGUCCUGAUAAGUCCUCAGUGGUGGAUUUGUAGUAGGAUCACAAUCAUGUGAUCAUGUAGCAUUCAUUUGUUGUCAUGGUUACAGUGACGCCGUGCCGCUAUCUGGCAAUGAUACAGAAAUCUUUAACUAAUCUGUAGAUCCAGACUAGGAGCUGCAUCACUGCCAAAAUCUAAUCACUUGGUCCUUGUGUCAUUUCUGACCUUCAAUGGAAAUUUCAUCCACAUCUGUUUAUGAGUGAUGUUGCUAACAGACAGACAGACAGACAGACAGACAGACAGACAGACAGACAGACGUACACCGAUCAUCACAUAACUCCACCGUUCUUUGGCGAAGUUGUGCGACGAUCACUGGAAAUAAAUCUGGAAAUAAAUGUGUUCCAAAGCUCUGCAUGUUAGAACCUGAUGAAAUGUUGUGGAUGUAAAGUGUUCUGUCAGAUGAGAUCAGAACCACAUAGAAAAGUUCUGAUUGUCCAGAAUGAAGCACAACUGAUGAACAGAACUUUAGAUUGAACUUGUUUUAUUGUUUAAUCUGUUAGUAGCUCUGAUGAUGGUCUAAACUGUCGUACAGGAUAAGCUAAUUUGAUAUAUUUUGUACAUUUUUAUACUACUCAGUGGUCUGUAAGUUUCAUCUUCAUCCUAUAUCAUGUUUUGUUGUUAGUCUGCAGAUAAAUGUAGUCCAGUAAAAUAACAUUGUUUGCUACUGAACUGUAGUGAAGGUUGAAUAGAAUAAACUGAACUGAUGCUGAUAGAAUUCUGUUUAUACUAUAACACAAUGGAAAUAUGGAACUUUACUGCUGCUUUUUGCACUUUGGCUUUGAUGCAAAACUGUUUGUCUUUGUUCUUGUAUUUGGACAGUAAAGUUGAAUCUACUCAGUGAUCUGUGCUUCAUUAUAAUUUCUGUAAAUAUAUUUAGGAUUUUAAAGCUGGUUUCUUUUCUGCAGCAGUGAUAAUAAAGGUUGUUUCCCCAGAUUGUGAUCCUGCUGGUUCAUGUCUGACUACAACCUGUUGAACUGGUUCAGAACAAACAUAGAUCAGGAGUUUCUACAGGAUCAGUCCAUAGAGAUUUUAUAAAACCAGUAAUAUAAUAAUGUGCUGUGUGGACAGAGCUGCACUUUAUUGUUGAACUGUGUGUAUUAGAGGUGUGUGUUGUGUUUCAUCUCCAUGCUGUCUGAGGAUCAUAGAACUGGACCGUCCUCAUUGACGUGGAGUUUAACCCUCUAAUCUCCAAAACCACUCAUCUGUAAUAUUUUAAAAAUGCCAGACAUUUAUUCUGAAAGUUUAGUUCCUCUUCCUGUAGCUCAGCUCUGAGUUUUGAACACAAACAUGAAGAAGUAGUUUGUUGUUCUCAGACCACAUUAACACGACUCUGCUGGAUGAAGACUGUUUUGUUGAUCACAGAUCUGUGCAGCACAAGAACAAACUCUGGAACUUCAUUAAAUGUUUUGAAUUUCAAAUGUGG
ensembl:lncRNA